UCGAAGGUGGAAUCAAUAACUGGGGUGAAGUCGUAACAAGGUAGCCGUAUCGGAAGGUGCGGCUGGAUCACCUCCUUUCUAAGGAGAAUUG
rnacentral:rRNA from 1 species